UGAUUCAAAACAAAGUCUUGGCAACUGAGACAUAAGAGCGAACAGCAUGAGUUUGCGGAAUAACUUUCUAUUUUAUGAGUGUAGUGGGAAGACUUCUUGAGAUAUUAAUCUUGAGAAUGUUUCUUUUUUCUUACCCUUCCCAACCUUUUCCUUGUUGGUCUGAGACACUCCCCCUCCCAUGGCUUUGAAGGGAAAAGUUGUUGUUGGAUCGUAAAUGCAAAGAGAAAAGCAAAAUUAUGUUCAGUAAUCGUUUUAAUUUCCAUACUGGGUUUCUGAGAAUCAAAAGGGAAGUCUUGCAGGAAAAAAUUUGCCACUGAAAUGACUAGAAAGAGAAGAGAAUUGUGUCCCAUCUCUGGGAGGUUGCACGAGGGCCGUUGUCUGGAAGGAUGGGUAUCAUGAAGGAGGAGAUGUAGAGAUCUGACAGAGAAGGUCCUGCCUGCUGCAGCCUGGCUCAGUCCCUUGUUUGAGGGCUUCUCCACAGGGAUGCCUCAAGCAUGGCAGCUGCCCUCUACCGGAUGAACAAUCCAAGAGACAGCAAGAGAGAAUGUGAUCAAGGGCAUACCUGUCACUGGCUUGAACUGUGAGAUGAAUGUUUCCUUCCAGGCCCCACCAUUUCUCCUUUGGUAAGUGAAGAAAUUAUUCCUAUGGACAGGACCUGCUUUAUGUCAUUAUACAGAGUCCUGUGCUCAGAAAUGACCUACAUUUUUCAAGUAUUCUGC